rnacentral:rRNA from 1 species
AACGAACGCUGGCGGCAGGCUUAACACAUGCAAGUCGAACGGGCGUAGCAAUACGUCAGUGGCAGACGGGUGAGUAACACGUGGGAACCUUCCUCGUUGGACGGAACAACUCAGGGAAACUUGAGCUAAUACCGUAUACGUCCGAGAGGAGAAAGAUUUAUCGCAAUGAGACGGGCCCGCGUCGGAUUAGGUAGUUGGUGGGGUAACGGCCUACCAAGCCGACGAUCCGUAGCUGAUCUGAGAGGAUGAUCAGCCACACUGGGACUGAGACACGGCCCAGACUCCCACGGGAGGCAGCAGUGGGGAAUCUUGGACAAUGGGCGCAAGCCUGAUCCAGCCAUGCCGCGUGAGUGAAGAAGGCCUUAGGGUUGUAAAGCUCUUUUACCAGGGACGAUAAUGACGGUACCUGGAGAAUAAGCCCCGGCAAACUUCGUGCCAGCCGCCGCGGUAACAC